GACGAACGCUGGCGGCGUGCUUAACACAUGCAAGUCGAACGGAAAGGCCCUGCUUUUGUGGGGUGCUCGAGUGGCGAACGGGUGAGUAACACGUGAGUAACCUGCCCUUGACUUUGGGAUAACUUCAGGAAACUGGGGCUAAUACCGGAUAGGAGCUCUUGCUGCAUGGUGGGGGUUGGAAAGGUUCGGCGGUUGGGGAUGGACUCGCGGCUUAUCAGCUUGUUGGUGGGGUAGUGGCUUACCAAGGCUUUGACGGGUAGCCGGCCUGAGAGGGUGACCGGCCACAUUGGGCCUGGGAUACGGCCCAGACUCCUACGGGAGGCAUCAGUGGGGAAUUUUGCACACUGGGCGGAAGCCUGAUGCAGCAACGCCGCGUGCGGGAUGACGGCCUUCGGGUUGUAACCCGCUUUCGCCUGUGACGAAGCGUGAGUGACGGUAAUGGGUAAAGAAGCACCGGCUAACUACGUG
rnacentral:rRNA from 1 species